rnacentral:rRNA from 1 species
GAUGAACGCUGGCGGCGUGCCUAAUACAUGCCAGUCGAGCGAACAGACGAGGAGCUUGCUCCUCUGACGUUAGCGGCGGACGGGUGAGUAACACGUGGAUAACCUACCUAUAAGACUGGGAUAACUUCGGGAAACCGGAGCUAAUACCGGAUAAUAUAUUGAACCGCAUGGUUCAAUAGUGAAAGACGGUUUUGCUGUCACUUAUAGAUGGAUCCGCGCCGCAUUAGCUAGUUGGUAAGGUAACGGCUUACCAAGGCAACGAUGCGUAGCCGACCUGAGAGGGUGAUCGGCCACACUGGAACUGAGACACGGUCCAGACUCCUACGGGAGGCAGCAGUAGGGAAUCUUCCGCAAUGGGCGAAAGCUUGACGGAGCAACGCCGCGUGAGUGAUGAAGGUCUUCGGAUCGUAAAACUCUGUUAUUAGGGAAGAACAAAUGUGUAAGUAACUAUGCACGUCUUGACGGUACCUAACCAGAAAGCCACGGCUAACUACGUG